UACGAAGGGGGCUAGCGUUGUUCGGAAUUACUGGGCGUAAAGGGCGCGCAGGCGGCCCUUCAAGUCAGUGGUGAAAGCCCGGAGCUCAACUCCGGAACUGCCAUUGAAACUGUUAGACUUGAGGUUGAGAGAGGUGAGUGGAAUUCCCAGUGUAGAGGUGAAAUUCGUAGAUAUUGGGAAGAACACCGGUGGCGAAGGCGGCUCACUGGCUCAUUACUGACGCUCAGGCGCGAUAGCGUGGGGAUCAAACAGG
rnacentral:rRNA from 1 species